rnacentral:rRNA from 1 species
UACAGAGGGGGCAAGCGUUGUUCGGAAUUACUGGGCGUAAAGGGCGCGUAGGCGGCCUGUUAAGUCGGACGUGAAAUCCCUCGGCUUAACCGGGGAACUGCGUCUGAUACUGGAUGGCUUGAGUUUGGGAGAGGGAUGCGGAAUUCCAGGUGUAGCGGUGAAAUGCGUAGAUAUCUGGAGGAACACCGGUGGCGAAGGCGGCAGCCUGGACCAACACUGACGCUGAGGAGCGAAAGCGUGGGGAGCGAACAGG